CUCUCGCUCAACAAAUCGCUAUUCGAAGCUUACACACAGAGACACUGCAAUCGCAGCGUCUCGCUAUCGAAUGCUUUGGGAGAAAGUCCCCGGACGUCUCCUUUACGGAGCUUGCGGAAACGCGCCGCCAUAAAAGCACUGCGGCUGACCUCUGCACCUUGGCCCUCUCCGCGGCAUCCGCCCUGCCCACCGCUACAUCUCCUCUUGCGCGUCCUCGUCGGAGCCUGUUUGUGCGUCUCUGGCCCCCAUGGAUGAAGAUACGAGUCCGAGCCGGCGCCGUGCGUUCGGACCUCUGCCGGCGGGCGAGCAGUGGCGGAUGGUGGGUGGACGCUGUGGUGUCUGCGGGAGUGGCAUCGGGCGCGGAUGACCUGUUGUCGAGGUCGAUAGGUAUGCGAUUGCCCGGCGCAAGCUGGGUUACUCGAUGGGGCUUAUUCUUGAGGCGAGG
rnacentral:RNase_MRP_RNA from 2 species